rnacentral:rRNA from 1 species
GACGAAGGAUGCAAGCGUUAUCCGGAUUCAUUGGGUUUAAAGGGUGCGUAGGCGGCCAGAUAAGUCAGUGGUGAAAUCCUGUUGCUUAACAACAGAACUGCCAUUGAUACUGUUUGGCUUGAGUAUAGUUGCUGUGGGCGGAAUAUGACAUGUAGUGGUGAAAUACAUAGAGAUGUCAUAGAACACCGAUUGCGAAGGCAGCUCACAAAACUAUAACUGACGCUGAGGCACGAAAGUGCGGGGAGUC